rnacentral:lncRNA from 1 species
AGCGCCCUCGUGCGUAGCAUGCCUGAAUAGGAACGUGGUUUGGGGACGUGUGGGGGAAACUUUUGAACAGGUAUGAUGAUGUGGAUCCACUGCUGCAACAGCAUGAAUCAUAUCACCUAUUCAUAUUAGGAAGCGGGGAAAUUGCUGCUACUAUACUAGUAGUACUGACAAGGGUAACACGGAAACGCCACACACCAUAGCGCGGCAACCUUCAAGGUUAAAAGCUUUAUUUGUGGCGUUAUUGCCUCAACUAACAAACAAUUGCGACAUUCUAUGCGAUAUUGCCUAAUUACAUUAUUACAGCUGGCGCUAAAGAUUUUAUAAAUCCAUGUUACUGCGGUAUACUACAUAUACUCUUUUCAAGGUGAUAUGGUUUAGAGGGGGCGUCAUACAGGAUUUAUGUAUAGAAAUCUGGGCGCCACAACACCCCAGCCAGCAUACGAAUAUAUAGUAAAGAACUCGCGACAAGCGCCCACACAACUACUACUAGUACUACUACCACCACUACUACUACUACUACUUAGCCUACAUACGUGCAAGCAAGCUAAGAGGCGGCGGGAUUUGCCCGAUUGCCCCCACGAAAAACACCCGAGCUGGGAGGAAAUGUGAGCAGGCCCCUAAAACGAUUCCGCUGUGUGCUGACACACAAAAGGAGGCAUCCCCACUUCGCGCCGGGUCUCACGGGUCUCACAAAUACCACACCAAGGCCCUCCAGGACCCUCUUUUAUCUUGGCUCCAACCUGCAACAUUUUUUUCACGGAAAAAGUGAAAAAACAUUGGGGAUGUGUGCUCGGUCCUGCUCAGGUAGCAGAGGGCCCCAAUCCAUAGGGGGCGCUACACCCGAUGCCACCACCACCACCACAAUCACCACUACCACUACCACCACUAUGAAUGUCCAUACAAUCCAGGGCUGCGACCAGCCGGAUGACGAGCAUACACGGAAUAUCUACUCAUGCCCGACUAUAUAUACCUCAACAUGAAUCCCGAGAUGUUCGGACAUAUGGCUGAGCAUCAGGCGAGGGCAGCGGCCAUUACAUCAGCAGAGCUGGCCAGCAAACAACAAAAGUCCCUGCCAACUGCUCCAUCAAUCCGCCUCUUGCGCCACCGCCCGGCCGCGACCCCACCCCGCCUGUUUCUCUCUAUGCCGCACCGAAAGUUCCAUCCCAUCCCAUACUCCAGCACACCUAUACGCACAUAAAACAUACAUUUUCACUCUUAAGCAGUCCCCCUGCAAGGCUGCUCCGAAACCAACGACAUGCCGCACUGCUGACAUUGAUUUGAACACCACAUGCAUGGUACAGUACUGCACAUGCAUACAUACGUACGUACGUACAUGCAUACGUACCCCAGCCGCACGAAGCCAGGCACAGUAGAGUCCCCACCCUCCUCCCUCCUCAACCAACAACCCCAAUCACAGCUUCUCUUCUAAUACUAAAUAUACUGACAUACAUACACACCGCAUGACUGUCCAAACGACCUACUACUAUUUGAUUGACAAAACCCAUUUAUGGGCCGGACAAAAUGUACCAAGCAACAAAACUGAAAUGACUUUUCAAGGGACCCCUUGGACACCCUUACUACUUUUUACAUUGCGUGCACAGCACAAUACGUAUGGAUACAUUGCCAGCCCCUAAAACGACGCAAAAGGUUGUAUACAUUUUUAGGAAGGACGUAUAUGCUACACCAGACAGAUUGCUUUUGUCUGAUUACGAAUCCUGUCCGACAUAUCAUGAGCCAGCGUAACACAUGUCCCAACCCUCCGCCUUUCUAAACCGGCGCCAGCAAAGGGGCAAAAGCCCUGCCAGGAGACCAACCAUGCCAGCGCGCUUGGGGGAGGGGGCCAAAAUAAUAAUACCCUCGCAUCCACGAAAACUACCACAACCACAACCACCAGCUUGCUGCACUGCCGUCCCGACGGGCCUGCUAGUCGUCAUGCACAACCCAUGGCACAGGCUCUCCGCGAAACGCGCUUGGUCCGGUAGAGUUCCUUCCCCCUCAUCAUCGAAGUCUUCUCCUUCCCUAGGUUCCCCCGCCGAUCGACAAUAUCGUCGUCGCAACACACUACUACAACAACUCUGUACCAGGACCUCCAGCGUGCACGAGCAAGCAGCACGAGCGUGCCUACAACAAAGAAUAUUUUAUUUUGCAGUCAACAAGGUUUAUCGCAGCAUUAGAUAGGUAUGCUGGGCGAUAUGCACACAGGUAUGCGGGUUUUUAAGCUAUCCCCUUUUUCCUGUCAGACGACAGAGCAAUCUCGUGUGUGUCUGUCUGUCUGUGUGUGUGUGUGUGUGUGUCACAUCGUGUUUCGGCGGUGCACCAUGAAUGCACAACGCAACCAUACAUACACGUGCAACACGACAACAGUAAAAAAAAGACGCGCAAAGGCGGAGAAGACACAGAUACAGAGGAACACAAACAAAUUAGCCGACGCGCCCAGGCGUCCGAAAUUGCAUACGAUAUGUUCUCUUCUGUAAACCAAACCAAUCUAACCGACUAAAUCCGGAUGUUGAACCGCCCUCCGAAGGUCUGGAUCCAGACCACACACGCACCAGAAGAGGCUCCCCCCCCCUCCUCGCCACCUCCUCAAGCGCAGCCCCACCCACAUUCAAUACGCUGCUAAUCAAACGCAGCAGCACCUGGGGUGGCGC